AGCAGCCGCGGUAAUUCCAGCUCCAAUAGCGUAUAUUAAAGUUGUUGCAGUUAAAAAGCUCGUAGUUGAAUUUCGAGACCGGUCUACUGGUCGUGCUUUUGUACGUACUGGUAUAAUCGGUUUCUCUCUUCUGACGAACUAUAAUGCCAUUAAUUUGGUGUUUUAGGGAAUCAGGACUGUUACUUUGAAAAAAUUAGAGUGUUUAAAGCAGGCUCACGCUUGAAUACAUUAGCAUGGAAUAACGAAAUAGGACGUUUGAUUCUAUUUUGUUGGUUUCUAGGAUCGACGUAAUGAUUAAUAGGGAUAGUUGGGGGCAUUAGUAUUCAAUUGUCAGAGGUGAAAUUCUUGGAUUUAUUGAAGACUAACUACUGCGAAAGCAUUUGCCAAGGAUGUUUUCAUUAAUCAAGAACGAAAGUUAGGGGAUCGAAGACGAUCAGAUACCGUCGUAGUCUUAACCAUAAAUUAUGCCGACUAGGGAUCGGAUGGAUGUUAAAUUAAUGUAACUCAUUCGGUCACCUUA
rnacentral:rRNA from 1 species